GAUUAAAUGGCUGACAAUAGGCGGUAAACUGUAAAUUUAUUUAUGAGAUUUUUCUCUUUAAUCA
rnacentral:tRNA from 1 species